rnacentral:rRNA from 1 species
UACGGAGGAUGCAAGCGUUAUCCGGAUUCACUGGGUUUAAAGGGUGCGUAGGCGGGUUAUUAAGUCAGUGGUGAAAUCCCCGAGCUUAACUUCGGAACUGCCAUUGAUACUAUUAGUCUUGAAUACAGAUGAGGUGGGCGGAAUAUGUCAUGUAGCGGUGAAAUGCUUAGAUAUGACAUAGAACACCGAUUGCGAAGGCAGCUCACUAAACUGUAAUUGACGCUGAGGCACGAAAGCGUGGGGAUCAAAC